CUACCAAAUCAGUCAACAAAUACCUUUUGUAUUCUUAAGAAAAAUAAUAAAUUAGCUGAAAAUGAAAUUAUAUUUAAAAGAAAUGGUCCACUUAUUCAAACCAUGCUCCGGAUUUCUUUAAAAGAUAGACAGGAACAUGGGCAGGAUGUUUAUACAGCAAAAUGUAAACAUUUUCCCUGGCCUUCUUUAAAUAAAAAAUCAAGCAAAAAGCUCCGCUAGAUCAGCUAAUACUCAAUCUGAUGCAUUAUGUCCGUUUUAGACACAACCUUUGGAGAGGACCUUUCCUCCAAAAUGCAGAAAUGUUAUUAUUCCUACAAUAAAUUGUUAUAUUUGCUCAGGGAACCUAUGGGAGCACGGCUCUACACCUUGCCGAGACCCAGGCAAGAAAUCACGGAUGGGGAAUUCAGAUCGACUCACUCUAAACUCUUCCCCAGGACGAUUUUAUGUUGGGAUGAAGAAGCACGAGGCCAGAGUUCCAGGCAGCAGCGUUUCAGAAGACCUCCACCAGCGUCACGUCUGUCUGACAGUGCUAAUGAUAAUUGAGAGGAAGCGGCAAAUUCCUCGCUGAGCGGGGGGUGUCGAGGUGGAGGAGACAUACUGUCCUGCACCCAAUCAUAUCCCAACGCCUCUCUCCCCUGCCCCCCCCCCCCUCAACCCCCCUACCUUCUCAGACGACCCCCUGACCCCCUCCUCGUAUUUAGAUCUCGCCAUCGACGUGAGAGAGAAAAAAGUGAUGAGUCACUCUGGCGCAGUGUUUACGUUCAGGAGUCACGCAAGGAAGGAAAUCGACCGCGCCGGGCUAAAAGUGUCGAGGCGCGGAGAGCACUGCGUCGGUAUUAGAGUGGGCUCGGUGACUGUCCUCUUGUGCCUUGAGCUCAGUGCUGUUAACCCCUCAGUAUCUGCUGGGGCGUUCUCACACGAGCACAACGUCCGGCGCUGCUGGGAUAUUUAUUCUGCUGUUUAGUUCUGCUAAUAGGGCGCUGUAAUUUUAGACUGAUUUGUACCACCCUGUCAAUGAAGUUAAACGAUCCUUGUCGUGUGUGUGUGGGUAGUCAGUUUUAGCCGUGUUGGUAAUGGACUGAAAUGUAUGAAUUUCGUUUGGGAUUGCUGAAUUUGUUAAAAGUCGCUGUUGUACAAUCAUAAAAUGUUCCUGUGUAAUGUUUUAAAUAUUUAUAUAAAAUAAUGAUAUAUCUGUUUUGUCAAAAUGAGCUAAAUGAUGUGUGAAAGACUGCGGAUGAAUAUCACAUUUCUUCUCCUUGUAAGAAAGUAACUGACAGACACAGAAACCGAUGUUGUGAUUUUGUACAUAGCGUGUGUCUAGCAAGGAUUGGGACCGAGAGUGAAACCACUGUAGCCAAUGCCUGUGAUUGUAAUAUAAUGUCUUGGACUACACAACACAUCCACACUGUGUUCUUGUAGUAUUGCGCCACAGUUGCAGAGAGAGAGAGUUGCCUUUAUUAGUUUUUGCUGUGUAAAUAAAUGUGAACGCCUGAU